rnacentral:lncRNA from 1 species
AGUUUUCCGGUGGCGGCGGCGCUAGUUGGUCUGCACGAAACGUUUCCCUUCUCGCUCCGUGUGUCCCAUUCUCCAUCCCACGUCCUCCAGUGCCGGGGUCAUGGUCGCAGCACCCGGCGUUCCCGUUGGCUCUUUUGCCGCUGCGCGGAGCCGGCGGUUUUUCUGUCACAGCACUUGUACGGAGUUUCUCGGCGGCCGAACGUCUCUUUUUUUCUCAGAGACGACGGUUUCUUGGUGACAGUACCGUUGGUUGCGCCGUAACGAAUGUUCUCCUUGACAGCCCCACCAGCUGGCGUCACUCGCAGGCUCCAGACGCCGCCAUUUCGCCAAGCCGAGGUCUCUUGGUUGCGGCACUGCUUCUGGCUCGGUGCCUGUAUUUUCUCGGUGCCUACAGCGCCCAGGUCGCCGAUCUGAGGGCUUCGGAGUACCGGCCGGGCGCGGUGGCUCACGCCUGUAAUCCCAGCACUUUGGGAGGCCGAGGCGGGCGGAUCAGGAGGUCAGGAGAUCGAGACCAUCCUGGCUAACACGGAAAUGUAGACUUAGGUGUAACAUGUACCGGUUUAGAUCUGACAGAGAUAUCACAAUUGUAGGAUUGCAUCUUUUAGCAAGGGCUUUGACUCCUGAGUCUAAAAAGGUCACUAACUCCCGCUAAAUUGAGAGCAAUUGAAGCCUCAUCUUCAGAUCUAGGAGAAGAUGAAAAUCAGAAUAAGCUGCAGUCAUGAGACAUGGCGCCAGAAAUUAAGACUAUUCAAACCCUCUAGUCCCAGGGACUAUUGAAGAAGAAGUGGGUGUGUAAGCUUAUAAGGUCUAGAUCUGUCACCCAGGCUGGAGUACAGUGGCAUAGUCCUAGCUCACUGCAACCUCCACCUCCCAGGCUCAAGUGAUCCUACCACCUCAGCCUCCUAAGAAGCUGGGACUAUAGAUGUGCACCAACACGCAUGGCUAAUUUUUGUAUUUUUUGUAGACACCGUGUUUCGCCAUGUUGCCCAGGCUGGUCUCAAACUCCUGAGCUCAAGCAGUCUGCCUGCCUAGACCGCCCAAAGUGCUGAGUUUACAGGUGCGAGCCACCACAGCCAGCCUAUAAAGUAAACGUGAAUAUCUAAGGAACACUGAUGCAAGACCAGCAUGUGGGACCCCAUGUAAGAUUAACAAUGUUUUCAUGGAUCAUUAACCCAUUCUUAUUAAAAAAAUUAUGAAAGAUUAUGAAAAGGUUUACAAAAGUUGUAUCUUAUGGUCAAGAUGAUUAAAAUUUAUUAGAUUUGUCUAUAAUAUCUGAGAAAGAUUUGAUUGGCUUCAUGCUGUCUUUAUUAGCUCUUAUUGUUUGGGAAAGCAAGUCUCAAAGAGUGAAAGGUUUUGGCUUUUAGUUUUUGAAAACUUUGAGUUACUGCUUAACUAAAUGAAUGACUUAUUUUUUACAAUGACCUGUUGUGGGAAGUCAGGGACCCCAAACGGAGGGACCGGCUGAAGCCAUGAAAGAAGAACGUGGAUUAUGAAGAUUUUAUGGACAUUUAUUAGCUCCCCAAAUUAAUACUUUUGUAAUUUCUUAUGCCUGUCUUUACUGCAAUCUCUAAACAUAAAUUGUAAAGAUUUCAUGGACACUUAUCACUUCCCCAAUCAAUACCCUUGUGAUUUCCUAUGCCUGUCUUUACUUUAAUCUCUUAAUCUUGUCAGUUGAGGAGGAUGUAUAUCAUCUCAGGACCCUGUAAUAAUUGCGUUAAGUACACAAAUUGUACAGCAUGUGUGUUUGAGCAAUAUGAAAUGUGGGCACCCUGAAAAAAGAACAGGGUAACAGCAAUUGUUCAGGGAAUAAGAGAGAUAACCUUAAACUCUGACCGCCGGUGAGCCGGGCAGAACAGAGCCAUAUUUCUCUUCUUUCAAAAGCAAAUGGGAGAAAUAUCGCUGAAUUCCGUCCCUGAGAAAGAGAAUGCGCACCUAGGGGUAGGUCUCUGAACUGGCCGCCCCGGGGCGUACCUGUCUCUUAUGGUCGAGAUUGCAGAGGUGAAAUAAACUCCAGUUUCCCAUAGCGCUCCCAGGCUUAUUAGGAAGAGGAAAUUCCCGCCUAAUAAACUUUGGUCAGACCAGUUGAUCUCAAAACCCUGUCUCCUGAUAAGAUAAUAUCAGUGACAAUGGUGCCAAAACUUCAUUAGCAAUUUUAAUUUCGUUUCGGUCCUGUGGUCCUGUGAUCUCGCCCUGCCUCCACUUGCCUUGUGAUAUUCUAUUACCCUGUUAAGUACUUGAUGUCUGUCACCCACACCUAUUCGCACACUCCCUCCCCUUUUGAAAAUCCCUAAAAAAACCUGCUGGUUUCGGUGGCUUGUGGGGCAUCACAGAUCCUACCAAUGUGUGAUGUCUCCCCCGGACGCCCAGCUUUAAAAUUUCUCUCUUUUGUACUCUGUUCUUUUAUUUCUCAAGCCAGUCGACGCUUAGGAAAAUAGAAAAGAACCUACGUGAUUAUCGGCGCAGGUCCCCCGAUAACCUGUGAUCCUGUUUUGUGAUAUCAAGUGUUUUAAGUCUUUGAUGUUUGACAAACUUUCCAAAAUCCAAUUCUAAAUUCAGUCAUUUUCAUCUCAUUAGUUUUUUUGACAUUGAGUCCCCUGAAAUCCAAAGAGACAUAUUUGGCUUAGUUGGUAUAAUCACACAAGAAGUAUUAUCAAAUAUAAAAUGAUAUGUAACCAUCUUUGCAUUGUAUUUAUGUAAAUGUGUUAUUAGUGUUUUAAAAUUGUAUGAGAUUCUUCUGAUUGUGAUAUGUCUUAGUAUAUGUUUUCAGAACUAAUUAUGAUUAUUAUAUUCAAAUGUUAUAUAUCAUAGAUAUAACCACAUUUCUUUGUCAGUUGUGUCUUAAACCAUGGCUAUUGUAAGACUUUUGUCAUCUACAAUUAUUGUUUUACUUAGAUCCUUUCGUAGAGUGGUUUAUAAUCAGUUAUAGAGCUCUGAGACUACCCUUUUUGUUGUUGUUGUUGUUGAUGUUUGCUUUUUGAGACAGGGUCUCAAUCUGUCACCUAUACUGCAGUGUGGUGGCAUAAUCACUGCUCACUUCAGCCUUAAUCUCCUAGACUCAAGCAAUCCUCCCACCUAAGCCUACCAAGUAGCUGAGGCUACAGGCACGCACCAUACACUCAGAGAAUUUUAAAAAUUUUGUAGAGAUAGAGUCUCCCUCUGCUGCCCAGGCUGAUCUCAAACUCUUGGGCUCAAGCAAUCCUCCCACCUCAGCCUCCCAAAGUGCUGGGAUUACAGGCAUAAGCCACCACACCCAAGAUUUUAAUACAUUUAUCAUGUCUUCAUUAACAAAUACCAAGUGUCUAUAUUGUACUACAUAGUGAACAAGGUCCCAGAGAUAAGUAAUCAACAAGCAGACAUGGACUUGGCCAUAAAGUGUUUGACACCUUCAUGGAUUGUAAAAAAAAAAAAAAAGCAUGACAACAAAUAAAUAAAUAAAACCGUGUUUAUAUGAUAAAUGUUAUCAAGAAACUUAACGCAACUUAGUUGAAAAGGUAACUAGGAGGAUAUUAUAUUAGCUACUAUAGUAAGGAUAGAAUUGUCACAGAUACUUCCACUUCGAUAUGAGUAAUGCAAUGAACAACACCAAAAAACAAACAAACCAACCUAGGCUGGGUGCAGUGGCUCGCACUUGUACUCCUAGCACUUUGGGAGGCCAAGGCAGGCGGAUCACUUGAGGCAAGGAGUUCAAGACCAUCCUGGCGAACAUGGUGAAAUGCCAUCUCUACUAAAAAUAUAAGAAAAUUUGCUGGGCGUGGUGGCCCACACCUGUAAUCUCAAGUUACUCAGUAGGCUGAGGCGAGAGAAUCAUUUGAACCCGGGAGGCAGAGCUUGCAGUGAGCUGAGAACACACCACUGUACUCCAGCCUGGGCAACAGAGCAAGACCCUGUCUCAAAAAAAAAAAAAAAAAGGUGGAGUUACCAUCAUGAGAGAAUAUAAAGUACAAAGAUUCUAAGACUAGAAAACUUUAUUAUGGGCCGGGCAUAGUGGCUCAUGCCUGUAAUCCCAGCACUAUGGGAGGCUGAGGCAGGAGGAUCACUUGAGGCCAAAAACUCAAAACUAGCCCAGGCAACAUAGUAAAAUACCAUCUCUAGUAAAAAAAAAAAAAAAAAAAAAAUUAGCUGGAUGUGUUGGUGUCUGCUUGUAGUCCCAGCCACACAGGAGGCUGAGGCAACAUAAUUGUUUGAGCCCAGGAGUUCAAGGCUGAAGUGAGCUGUGAUGAUACCACUGCAUUCUAGCCUGAGCUACAGAGUGAAACCUUGCCUCCAAAAUAAAAAUAAACGUUUGUUACAGCCAUGGA